rnacentral:rRNA from 1 species
AUUGAACGCUGGCGGCAUGCCUUACACAUGCAAGUCGAACGGCAGCGGGGACUUCGGUCCGCCGGCGAGUGGCGAACGGGUGAGUAAUGUAUCGGAACGUACCUUUCAGUGGGGGAUAACGUAGCGAAAGUUACGCUAAUACCGCAUAUUUUGUGAGCCGGAAAGCAGGGGAUCGCAAGACCCUGCGCUGAUUGAGCGGCCGAUAUCAGAUUAGCUAGUUGGUGGGGUAAAGGCCUACCAAGGCUACGAUUUGUAGCGGGUUUGAGAGGAUGAUUCGCCCCCCUGGGACUGAGACCCGGCCCCGACUCCUACGGGAGGCAGCCGUGGGGAAUUUUGGACAAUGGGGGCAACCCUGAUCCAGCCCUGCCGCGUGAGUGAAGAAGGCCUUCGGGUUGUAAAGCUCUUUCGGCCGGGAAGAAAUCGCAUCAGCUAAUACCUGGUGUGGAUGACGGUACCGGAAUAAGAAGCCCCGGCUAACUACGUG